rnacentral:rRNA from 1 species
AUUGAACGCUGGCGGCAGGCCUAACACAUGCAAGUCGAACGGUAACAGGAAACAGCUUGCUGUUUCGCUGACGAGUGGCGGACGGGUGAGUAAUGUCUGGGAAACUGCCUGAUGGAGGGGGAUAACUACUGGAAACGGUAGCUAAUACCGCAUAACGUCGCAAGACCAAAGAGGGGGACCUUCGGGCCUCUUGCCAUCGGAUGUGCCCAGGUGGGAUUAGCUAGUAGGUGGGGUAACGGCUCACCUAGGCGACGAUCCCUAGCAGGUCUGAGAGGAGGACCAGCCACACUGGAGCUGAGACACGGUCCAGACUCCUACGGGAGGCAGCAGUGGGGAAUAUUGCACAAUGGGCGCAAGACUGAUGCAGCCAUGCCGCGUGUAUGAAGAAGGCCUUCGGGUUGUAAAGUACUUUCAGCGGGGAGGAAGGGAGUAAAGUUAAUACCUUUGCUCAUUGACGUUACCCGCAGAAGAAGCACCGGCUAACUCCGUGCCAGCCGCCGCCGUAA